rnacentral:rRNA from 3 species
UACGUAGGGUGCAAGCGUUGUCCGGAAUUACUGGGCGUAAAGAGUUCGUAGGCGGUUUGUCGCGUCGUUUGUGAAAACCAGCAGCUCAACUGCUGGCUUGCAGGCGAUACGGGCAGACUUGAGUACUGCAGGGGAGACUGGAAUUCCUGGUGUAGCGGUGAAAUGCGCAGAUAUCAGGAGGAACACCGGUGGCGAAGGCGGGUCUCUGGGCAGUAACUGACGCUGAGGAACGAAAGCGUGGGUAGCGAACAGG